AGCGAUAGGCUUAACACAUGCAAGUCGAGGGGCAGCAUUUCCUUCGGGAAGAUGGCGACCGGCGCACGGGUGAGUAACGCGUAUGCAACCUACCCAUAACAUUGGGAUAGCCCGUUGAAAGACGGAUUAAUACCGAAUAACACAGGGGCACCGCAUGGUGAUAUUUGUUAAAGAUUUAUUGGUUAUGGAUGGGCAUGCGUAAGAUUGUAGUUUCGCAUGAAACAGCAAUUAAAGGAGUAAUCCGCUAUGAGAUGGACCCGCGUCGCAUUAGCUAGUUGGUGAGGUAACGGCUCACCAAGGCAACGAUCCACUAGGGGAACUGAGAGGUUUAUCCCGCCACACUGGUACUGAGACACGGACCAGACUCCUACGGGAGGCAGCAGUGAGGAAUAUUCGGUCAAUGGGCGAGAGCCUGAACCAGCCAAAUCGCGUGAAGGAUGACUGUAUUAUGUAUUGUAAACUUCUUUUAUGUGGGAAUAAAAAGGGGGACGUGUCCCUCAUUGCAUGUACCACAUGAAUAAGCAUCGGCUAACUCCGUGCCAGCAGCCGCGGUCAAUACGGAGGAUGCGAGCGUUAUCCGGAUUUAUUGGGUUUAACAGGGUGCGUAGGUGGGUAUGUAAGUCAGCGGUGAAAAUUCCGGGAGCUCAACUCCGGACCUGCCGUUGAAACUGUAUACCUUGAGUGUGAACGAGGUAGGCGGAAUUCCGUAGUGUAGCGGU
rnacentral:rRNA from 1 species